rnacentral:rRNA from 1 species
CCUACGGGUGGCUGCAGUGAGGAAUAUUGGUCAAUGGACGAGAGUCUGAACCAGCCAAGUAGCGUGAAGGAUGACUGCCCUAUGGGUUGUAAACUUCUUUUAUAUGGGAAUAAAAUGUUCCACGUGUGGGAUUUUGUAUGUACCAUAUGAAUAAGGAUCGGCUAACUCCGUGCCAGCAGCCGCGGUAAUACGGAGGAUCCGAGCGUUAUCCGGCUUUUUUGGGUUUAAAGGGAGGGGAGGUGGAUUGUUAAGUCAGUUGUGAAAGUGUGCGGAUCAACCGUAAAAUUGCAGUUGAAACUGGCAGUCUUGAGUACAGUAGAGGUGGGCGGAAUUCGUGGUGUAGCGGUGAAAUGCUUAGAUAUUACGAAGAACUCCGAUUGCGAAGGCAGUUCACUGGACUGCAACUGACACUGAGGCUCGAAAGUGUGGGUAUCAAACAGGAUUAGAUACCCCUGUAGUC